GCCAUUUUCUCCUGUCUUUGACGCACCGUUAACACGACAGAAACUAGACUAAGGCACCUCCUCCAGUGUUGUGGAGUACGGCUGGAUUUCAGCUCAUCCUCAGUGGUACGGCAGUAUUUCAGCUCAUCCUCAGUGGUACGGCAGUAUUUCAGCUCAUCCUCAGUGAUACGGCAGUAUUUCAGCUCAUCCUCAGUGGUACGGCAGUAUUUCAGCUCAUCCUCAGUGAUACAGCAGUAUUUCAGCUCAUCCUCAGUGGUACGGCAGUAUUUCAGCAUAUCUUCAGUGGUACGGCAGUAAUUAUGCAUAUCUUCAGUGGUACGGCAGUAUUUCAGCUCAUCUUCAGUGGUACGGCAGUAUUUCAGUACAUCUUCAGUGGUACGGCAGUAUUUCAGUACAUCUUCAGUGGUACGGCAGUAUUUCAGUACGUCUUCAGUGAUACGGCAGUAUUUCAGUUCAUCUUCAGUGGUACGGCAGUAUUUCAGUACAUCUUCAGUGGUACGGCAGUAUUUCAGCUCAUCCUCAGUGAUACGGCAGUAUUUCAGCACGUCCUCAGUGGUACGGCAGUAUUUCAGCUCAUCCUCAGUGGUACGGCAGUAUUUCAGCUCAUCCUCAGUGGUACGGCAGUAUUUCAGCACAUCUUCAGUGGUACGGCAGUAUUUCAGCAUAUCCUCAGUGGUACGGCAGUAUUUCAGCUCAUCCUCAGUGGUACGGCAGUAUUUCAGCUCAUCCUCAGUGGUACGGCAGUAUUUCAGCUCAUCCUCAGUGGUACGGCAGUAUUUCAGCUCAUCCUCAGUGGUACGGCAGUAUUUCAGCUCAUCCUCAGUGGUACGGCAGUAUUUCAGCUCAUCCUCAGUGGUACGGCAGUAUUUCAGCUCAUCCUCAGUGGUACGGCAGUAUUUCAGCUCAUCCUCAGUGGUACGGCAGUAUUUCAGCAUAUCUUCAGUGGUACGGCAGUAUUUCAGCUCAUCCUCAGUGGUACGGCAGUAUUUCAGCAUAUCUUCAGUGGUACGGCAGUAUUUCAGUACAUCCUCAGUGGUACGGCAGUAUUUCAGCUCAUCCUCAGUGGUACGGCAGUAUUUCAGCUCAUCCUCAGUGGUACGGCAGUAUUUCAGCUCAUCCUCAGUGGUACGGCAGUAUUUCAGCUCAUCCUCAGUGGUACGGCAGUAUUUCAGCUCAUCUUCAGUGGUACGGCAGUAUUUCAGCUACAGGAAAACCGAGCGUCGUGUAAAAAGGGCCUCAGAGUUGUGACGACGACAAGACGCAACACGACACCUUCAUCCAAUCAUUUGAAGAGGAGAACCAUCCCCUACUUUACAACGAUUGCUUGGUGAUAAAAAUUGGCCGACAGCAGCGAAGUCCUCAGCCAUAGCCAGCCACCUACGCUAAGGAGGCAUUGAUCACCUAGCUAUCACAUAGGCGAAGACUCCUAUUUACACUGUCAGUAAAGACGUCUUCAAGAAGAUGAGAAAC
rnacentral:lncRNA from 8 species